AUUUCCACCAGCUGCUGAGGGAGAAUACCUGUCUCUUUAGCUGCUAAAGGCUCCACUUUGUUCACCAGCUGGAAGGUGAGACCACAGCGGUGAAGAAAGAAUUCUGCAUCAGAGAAGAAGAAGUGGACUCUUUGUUUUUACCUGGUUGUCCCGGCACGAGGAAGGGUAAACCACAGAUCUAAAGAGAGAUGAUGGAAAGGGA